UGGUCUUUUGGGGAUCCUGAAAUCUGGGCAUAACAGUGAGGUGAUCUCCUGACUUUAAAUUUAAACAUCACAGGGCGAGAUUGGCUCUAAGAUAAGAAACAGAAUAAAUUCUCUCCUCAGGGCGGCACUGAGGCUCUGACAGGAACAGAGAUCAUGGCGACUAAAAGGGAACAGAUGAUCCAGUGGAAAGUGCACUGUGACAUGUCCAUGGAGAAGAUGGGGAACAAUGUGGUC